UUAUUAUUAUUAUUAUUAUUAUUAUUAUUAUUAUUAUUAAGGUGGCCAGCUGGUAGACUCGUUAGCAGGCUGGGCGAAAUGCCUUGCAGCAUUUCAUCCAUCUUUACAUUCUGAGUUCAAAUACUGCUGAGGUGGACUUUGCCUUUCAUCCUUUCAGGGUUGAUAAAAUAAGUACCAGU